rnacentral:rRNA from 1 species
GACGAACGCUGGCGGCGUGCUUAACACAUGCAAGUCGAACGAAGAGCGACGGAAGCUUGCUUCUAUCAAUCUUAGUGGCGAACGGGUGAGUAACGCGUAAUCAACCUGCCCUUCAGAGGGGGACAACAGUUGGAAACGACUGCUAAUACCGCAUACGAUCUAACCUCGGCAUCGAGGAUAGAUGAAAGGUGGCCUCUACAUGUAAGCUAUCACUGAAGGAGGGGAUUGCGUCUGAUUAGCUAGUUGGAGGGGUAACGGCCCACCAAGGCGAUGAUCAGUAGCCGGUCUGAGAGGAUGAACGGCCACAUUGGGACUGAGACACGGCCCAGACUCCUACGGGAGGCAGCAGUGGGGAAUCUUCCGCAAUGGACGAAAGUCUGACGGAGCAACGCCGCGUGAGUGAUGACGGCCUUCGGGUUGUAAAGCUCGGUUAAUCGGGACGAAAGGCCUUCUUGCGAAUAGUGAGAAGGAUUGACGGUACCGGAAGAGAAAGCCACGGCUAACUACGUG